CCCCAAGCUGUCGGCUAUAGGUGCGUCCUGCUGGCGGGGAUGAAACCGCCGAUUUGCCGCCGAUUACAUCACUCCCAUUUCUUGCGAGAUUUCUUGACUGCUUCAUUUUCUCUGGCGGUUGCCUGGGUCUAAAGGACCGUGGUCGUCCGGCGGCAAGACGCUUUUAAAUACAAGGCUUUUCUCAAAAUCGACCGGCCAUGUUGGUUUGGACACACAUUCGCAUCAGUUCGUCGCUCAAUCGCGAGUAACAGCCUGCAGUUUGCUAGCUAGCAAAGUCAUCGACUACCAUCGUUUAAAUACCUUGGCCAGAGCAUAACCGGUUAUCUUCACCCAAGAGACCUACUGUUGGUCAAUCGUUUUGGUUUUAAAGAACCAGGUUUCUCCCCAGUAAUCCAGACUCCACUUCACAGAGCCAAGAGUUUGAGUACAACUCGUCAAGUACUAAGCUUUACAACGCCAGCAGCAAAUUUACCCUGGCAGCAUAUGGGUGAAAACGCUGGAGGAGAAAGUCAUCGCUUUGUUAUUGGCCCUUGGACGCCCCUGGCAUCUCGUGUACAGCACAAAGUUUUCACUUAUGAAGAUUUCCAGUGACUCCAGAAUGAAAACCAAGCUCUGAGGGAGGAGAACCAAGCCCUGAGGGAAUGCAAUGCACAAGGAGCUUCGGGUUGACAGCGGCUCACUGGUGAAGCAAGUAGGGACAAUGUUGAAGACGUUUGCUCUCACUGGGCAAUCAGGUGCGUUACCUGAAAGGAGCAUCUGACCGUGAAGGCAGAAAAAGCCGCACAGCUGAGAAGGACCUACAGCCGACCCCUUAAACCUUGGCUGACUACUGACACCCCAGCAUCACUGAACUGGAACACUUUCUUUAUCCUGCAGUCAGUAACAUCAAGAAGCCAGAAGUGCCAGACUACACUCACCAAAUCCACCCUGUUUUUUUUGUAUUUUAACUUUAGUAUUGGCUUAUUUCAUUCCGUCUUAACAAUUCUAUUAUAGUUUCUAAAUCCUAUUUCUUACCUGUUACUUGAUAUUGCACAUUAACUAGUACCAAAAUUCUACUUUCAUUUCA
ensembl:lncRNA